GAAAACUGAGUAUUUCUAAUUAAAGCUGCUAACUUUAAAUUAUAGCGGUUAAACUCCGUUAAGUAUUCU
rnacentral:tRNA from 1 species